rnacentral:rRNA from 1 species
GAUGAACGCUGGCGGCGUGCCUAAUACAUGCAAGUCGAGCGAACAGACGAGGAGCUUGCUCCUCUGACGUUAGCGGCGGACGGGUGAGUAACACGUGGAUAACCUACCUAUAAGACUGGGAUAACUUCGGGAAACCGGAGCUAAUACCGGAUAACAUGUUGAACCGCAUGGUUCAACAGUGAAAGACGGUCUUGCUGUCACUUAUAGAUGGAUCCGCGCCGCAUUAGCUAGUUGGUAAGGUAACGGCUUACCAAGGCAACGAUGCGUAGCCGACCUGAGAGGGUGAUCAGCCACACUGGAACUGAGACACGGUCCAGACUCCUACGGGAGGCAGCAGUAGGGAAUUUUCCGCAAUGGGCGAAAGCCUGACGGAGCAACGCCGCGUGAGUGAUGAAGGUCUUCGGGUCGUAAAACUCUGUUAUUAGGGAAGAAAAAAUGUGUAAGUAUCUAUGCACGUCUUGACGGUACCUAAUCAGAAAGCCACGGCUAACUACGUG